UCCUCAGUAGCUCAGUGGUAAAGCGGUCGGCUGUGAACUGACGGGUUGUAGGUUCAAAUCUUGCUUGGGGAU